rnacentral:lncRNA from 1 species
AUUUUGUAUUGUGAUAUCACCACCUUGUGUUACUAGUUGGAAAUCUUUUUUUUGUGCUUUAAACAGCUACUAGCUAAGUAUGAACAUCAAAUGCAAAUGCUUAAAGAAGUGAAUCUGAAAUUGGAGAAAAAGAAAAAAGUUCUAGACGAUCAAAUAGCUAUGUUUCUUGAGAAGAAAGCUAACGCUGAGUUACUCCAGUCACAAGCAUCUAUUUCUACACCUGCUGUUAGUUUGAAGAAAGGCAAGGACCACAAAAAGAACCAAGGUUUUCGACUUGAAUUGCUGUGCUUUGAUAUCAGAGAUGAAGAAAUUGUGACUGUUCACGAACAGAGCAAGAGGGAGAAGGAGAAGUUAGAGAGGGAGAGAAAUUCACCCAGGGGAUUCCAGAAAUGACAAAUUUGAUUGCAGCACUGAGGUUUUGAAUGUAGGAUGUGUUAGUUUUAUGAAGCAGUCUGACUGCUGCUGUCCCAUAAUAUUGUAUGUGUCUUCCUAGUACAGAUUUUUCAGAAAGAUUGAUAAAAUUGGCUGUAAAAUUACACUGAGUGUGCAAUAUGAUCUGGUAAACAUUUCACCUCCUUUAUUUCUCCACUUCCAAAUGAAAACCUCAAAUAAAUAGUGAAAUUUCAGAAAUGUGUUCAAAAUUAGUCUCCAGAACAACAUGCCCAACUUUUUUAUAUGUAAACAUUGAAUUAAAUAUUCAUAUAUCAAAUUGUUACCCAGAAGCCAUUUGACUUAUUAAUUUCCUUUCCUGAUAAGCUACAAUUUUACUGCAGAUAACAUUUUGUUGAUUAAUAUCUUAUUGCAAUUGAAAGCAGAUUUUUUGGUACAGAAAUUGUUCAUAACUGCUACACUAUGAAAAACUUUAGAAGCUAGAUGGGUGCACAUUUUUUGGGUGUAUGCUAGCAGCCUGCUUGUGUUUUUGCCAAAAUUUAUUGCACUUCAAGUAAUAUUACUGAGUUCCUUUUCCUAAACUCUUUUUUCUGGAUUUAUAUAUGGAAGUGGAAUUCUUGGUAGUAGAAGUCAUUAUCUGCACUAUCACGAG